GACGUAGGGCGCGGGCGUUGUCCGGAUUUAUUGGGCGUAAAGAGCUCGUAGGCGGCUUGUUGCGUCGGGAGUGAAAACUUACAGCUUAACUGUGAGCGUGCUUUCGAUACGGGCAGACUUGAGGCAUUCAGGGGAGAACGGAAUUCCUGGUGUAGCGGUGAAAUGCGCAGAUAUCAGGAGGAACACCGGUGGCGAAGGCGGUUCUCUGGGAAUGUCCUGACGCUGAGGAGCGAAAGUGUGGGGAGCGAACAGG
rnacentral:rRNA from 1 species